UACGUAGGGACCAAGCGUUGUUCGGAUUUACUGGGCGUAAAGGGCGCGUAGGCGGCAAUUCAAGUCAUCUGUGAAAUCUCCGGGCUUAACUCGGAAUGGUCAGGUGAUACUGCUUUGCUAGAGUGCAGAAGGGGCAAUCGGAAUUCUUGGUGUAGCGGUGAAAUGCGUAGAUAUCAAGAGGAACACCUGAGGUGAAGACGGGUUGCUGGGCUGACACUGACGCUGAGGCGCGGAAAGCUAGGGGGAGCAAACGGG
rnacentral:rRNA from 1 species